CCUAAUUCCUUUAGCCGCCCUUGUUUCUCCUUUCUAAUCAAACAUACGGCAGCAGCAAUAGUAGAAAGCAAGAAAGAAAAAGAAAGAAAGAAAUGGUGAGGGCAUAGAGGAAGAGAUCUGGGGGAAAAGGGAGACCGGGAAGGAGGGGGACCGCGUGCAGUCGUCGUCGCCGCGCCGCCGCUCCGUUGCCGUCGCGCCGCACCACCAACACAGGAGAGAACCAAGGGGAGAGAGAGCGACGCGUUUGAGAGAGAGAGGGAGUUGCUGCCUUCUGCACCGCCGCGCCCUAUCCGCGUUGCCGUCGCUGAUUGGUGGAAGGGAGAAGCAGAGCGCGCACAAAGAAGGAGAAGCCGUUCACCACUGACAAACCUUCGUUGGCAGUGAUUCGCCGCCGCUGAAGCUCGUCACUGCUGCCGUGCCACCGCCGCAGAGAGAGGAAGUGAGGCGAUUAAAGAGAGGAGGAGGAAGGAGACCCGUGCGCCGUCAGAAGCAGUUUCGCCCAGUUGCCGGCGUCGUCUUCAUCUGAACCACCACCAGAUCCGCCACUACCGAAGCUUCUGGCUGCGCCUCUGCCGUCGGCAGAGCUUGCCAUCACGAGAGGUGAGCCGACAUCGCGUUCUUGCUGCUUUGGGCCACCAGUGCCGCUGCUGCUACUCCAAAAUUCCACUUCUGUUUCUUAGGGUUUGCUAUCUCAGCCCCUUGAAGUUAUCAUCGGUUCUGUUCUUGCCGGUGAGGGUCGUCGGAGCUGCCGUAAUUCCAGUCUCUUGUUCCUCUGAUAAGUUUAUUCUGUCGCGCCUUGUCUCGCUAUAAUGUUUCAUUAAUUAACUCUGUCAUACUUUACAUAAAUGUUUCUUUGUAUCCUUACUCAGCCUUAAAUCACAGUAGAUUAUUAGAUUCACCGCUAUUGUCGUUUUGUAGCUGCCUCGCGGUGUUGUUCCAUCAUCACUGUUGCUGGAAGAAGCAGUCGAAGUGGCUGCCAUGAAUUAAAAGGAGAGGGAGUUGUUACAAUAGGUUUAUGUGAACUUGGCUAAUUGAGAGUUGUUGUGGUUGUUGCGUAAGCGGUUUGGAGCUGAGGCUGCAGCUGCCACUGAUUGCGGGCCGAAAAGAAAGGGUCUCUUGAUGCGUUUGGUUUAUGAGUUUCGAUUAUUCGAGGAACCGGAUGAAGAAGCAUUAAGAAGAGUUAUACUACGUUUGGUUUAUAUGCUGUUGUAU